AAUAAGUUUUAUUAAUGCAUAAUGAGCAUUUUGAAUCAGUCUUUUCAAUCAGGGCUUCAGGAACCUUGCCUUUUUAACAAACGAUUGAGUGUAUGUUAAACAUCUGGCUAGCUCCUACAAACAAUGACUCAAAGGAUUAUGCAAUAAAAAUGACUGAUAUAAUGUUGACCGCUGUGAAAGUCUUCAUGUUCUGACAUAGUCCACGAACACUGAAUAAUUCCUGUUUUGUUUUUUGUUUUUCUUCGUUUGUGCAGUUCUCAGGCUAUCUAGAUGUGCAUGGGGACUAGACAGCUGACUAUCUUUACACCCUCAUGUUUACAGUGUCUGAUGAGAACCUCAGCUGGUACCUGGAUGAAAACAUCAGGACCUACUGCACAACUCCUGCCAAAGUCAACAAGGAUGAUGAAGGCUUCCAGGAAAGCAAUAAAAUGCACUGUGAGUUCAGUGAUAAUGUGAACAGGCCAUCAGCUAUCAACGGGUAUGUCUAGACCUCAGUGUGUGCAUGGGCAUUAAGAUCCAUUGGCACUGGUUUGGAAUUGGGAACGAGGUGGACCUCCACUCAGCCUUCUUCCAUGGAUAGAUCCUGACAGACAAGCAGCACUAUGUUGACACCAUCAGUCUAUUCUUGGCUAGUUUUGUUAACGUAGAGAUGGGGGCAAAUAAUCCCAGCCAGUGGCUCCUCAGCUGCCAGGUCAAUGAUCAAUGAUCAUCAGGUACAGAAAGACCAGAUCUGAGAAUAUGGAUGCAAAAAUUCUGCAUUGUUACAAUGGCUGUGUUGCAUUUAAUUAAAUUUCUCCCCACUUUUAGCUGGCAUGCAUGCCAUUUUUGAGAUUAAGAAGUGUUUACCAAAAGUGCAUAAAACCAGAUCAUUUGGAGAAGUGAGACUAUUAAAUUGCCACUGAGGAAAUAAUUUGUGAUUAUUGGCCAACAGGGAUAAACCAGUAUUCAGGAAAGAAACUUGCUGAUGACAGGUCAAAAUAAUAUUGACUGAGAGACAUACUGAAAUCAAAGCGAAUGUCCUUUUUUUCCCUUACAAUUUGAUCUCAUAUCUCUGAACAUACUCUGUGUAUCUUACACUUUCUUUGAAAACCUCAAUGUUCGCAUCGGGGGCAAAUACAAGAAGGUCCAAUAUGUGGAAUAUACUUGAUGACACAUUCUCCAAAUCCAAAGAGAGGACCCCAGAGGAGCAGCAGCUGGGAAUUCUGGGUCCAAUCAUCAGAGCAGAGGAAUAGGACACAAUUAAAGUAACAUUUAGAAAUAAAGCAAGCAGGUCCUACAGUAUCCAACCUCACAGAGUGCAAUAUAAUAUAGAAAUGGAUGGAACUCUCUACCUAAACAUCCUGGAAGAUCCGCAAAACAGCCUAAAUCUGUAAUUAAAGAACAUGAAGACUUUUAAGAGUACAAUAAACUGCACUACUAGGAUCAGAGGUUGACAUGCAUGGAAUUUACUUUGAGGGCAACAGGUUCCUCUACAAAGACACCAGGAGAGACACCAUUAACGUGUUCCCUCAUAUCUCUCACACUGUCAUCUUGGAGCCUGAUAGCAUGGGGUAGUUUGAGGUGGGAUGUAAAACCACAGAUCAUUAUCAUGGAGGAAUGAGAGCCAACUACACCAUGGAGAAGAGUGGCUUCUGGAACCAUCAGUCUGAGAAAAUCCUCAACCAGAAGAAGUAUUACAUUGCUGCGGUUGAGAUGGACUUGGACUAUCAUCCACCCACACAUGGGAGGAACAAAUGCACCAUAGUCUGAAAGACAGGUAGUCCAAGUCCUUCACCAGAACUCAUGCAUCCCAUUUUCAAAAAUAGAAGAAGAACACCAGUGGUGUUCAUUGACCUGUUUAUGUGCCAAGCAUCAACAGGCAGAUGUGAAUGAGAUCUGAGAUUUAUGGGUAUUGAGCUACAG